CCUACGGGAGGCAGCAGUGAGGAAUAUUGGUCAAUGGGCUUACGCCUGAACCAGCAAAGUCGCGUGAGGGAAGACUGCCCUAUGGGUUGUAAACCUCUUUUGUCAGGGAGAAACGCCGGCUACGUGUAGCCGGACUGAGAGUACCUGAAGAAAAAGCAUCGGCUAACUUCGUGCCAGCGGCCGCGGUAAUACGGAGGAUGCGAGCGUUGUCCGGAUUUAUUGGGUUAAAAGGGUGCGUAGGCGGAAUGCCAAGUCAGCGGUAAAAUCGCGGGGCUCAACCUCGCUCCGCCGUUGAAACUGGCGUUCUUGAGUGCGCGAGAGGUAUGCGGAAUGCGUGGUGUAGCGGUGAAAUGCAUAGAUAUCACGCAGAACUCCGAUUGCGAAGGCAGCAUACCGGCGCCCAACUGACGCUGAAGCACGAAAGCGUGGGUAUCGAACAGGAUUAGAUACCCCUGUAGUC
rnacentral:rRNA from 1 species